AGACAUUUUAGGUAAGGAAAAAUGACUGCUCCAAGGUCAAAUACCCUCAAAAGUACUCAGAUGUGGCUUCGCUCCCCUGACUAUAAGCAAAGACCAUGCAUCUCCCUUUAAGGUGUCUUGAAAUGUCAGCUGAAAUCAAGAUAAUUCCCCUCGAUACAUUACAAUUAAUUACAACGCAUAACGUUAAACGUAGUGCUUAAGUGCCGAAUCAUAUGUGGCAGGGUUUAAAGGAAAGAAUGAAAUAUCAGAAGGCUAAACUGGUUGAUGAAUAAAAAAGGGCUUUUGACAGAAGGCUAUCUACUUAUUUUUCUAAUACUAAUAUGCAAAUAGUGGCUGUUUAUGACAAGGAUUCCUUCUGCCCAACUCCCGUAGUCGAAAUGGAAACCUUUGUUUAGCUAAAGCUCAGACCAAUAGCUAUAGAUGGCUGUAUUUUCAGAAAACCUCGGAAUCUGAAGUUAAUAAGUAUGUUUAUUCGAAUGUAUUUCCAUGGCAAUGUUAUUUUAUGAAAUGACUACCGUUAAAUAAUCCUGCUUAUUGUUAAUGGACUGUGAAGAAAAGUUACGUGUUUCUUCUGAUUGAACACACGGGCUUCCGGAAACACCGGAAAUAAUGCUUCUAUAACUUAGCGAUGUCAAAGUAUACUUAGACCAUAUUAUUGAGAGUACACUGCCAGUAUUAUUAUAAACCUGUGUUUGUAUGAGUCUCAGAUAUCAAAUGGUGAAACUCUAUUUGCUAUGUGAAAUUUGGGAAAAAAAAUCUUGGGCGGUGGUGGCAGAAAUUUGCUUCAAUUAUUUUUUUUUAAUGUUUAUUUUUGAGAGAGACAGAGUGUGAGCGGGGAAGGGGCAGAGGGAGAGGAAGGCACAGAAUCCGAAGCAGGCGCCAGGCUCUGAGCUGUCAGCACAGAGCCCGAUGCGGGGCUCGACACCGUGGACAGGGAGAUGACCACCUGAGCGGAAGUCAGAGGCUUAACCAACUGAGCCACCCAGGUGCCCCUUCAAUUUGUUCUUUAAAAACCCAUGGAAGACAAUAGUGGGCCAAUGGGGGAAAAUGCGGGAAAACUUGCAUUUAUUAAAAUUCGACAUUUCUGGAAUUUUUUUCAACAGUGGAGAGUUUGUGACAUUAUUCAUUUGGAUCUAGUGAAAAUAGGUAAUAACGAUAGUUAUCUUUUAUUGUGAAGAUUAUUUACUUUUGAUAAAAGAAGUGUAUAAUCUUCAUCAUCAUCAUCAUUUUCAUAUUGCUAUUCAUUGGCGCACAAGAAUGGCUUGCUAGAUCUUGGCAAGAAAUUUGGCAAACUUCUUCAUGACAUCUCUGUGGUCCUGCAAUUUGGCUAAACCACGUCACUUUAUCUGAAGUAAGUCUAGGGGCUUUACCAGACUGUGAACUAAGAGUGACAUAGUUGUUGGCAAAUAUAAUUAAAUUGAUACAUAAGGGAAUAGUGGUUAUUGUAUAAAUCAAGAAGGAUGUGUUCCCACUUUUACAGCUGUGUUAGGGCCUCGUUACCCCAAUUUAAAAAUGCCCUCUUUUUGUGUUUGUCCAUGAACUAGCCUGUCAUGGAUGUGAACGUGUAAGCAGACUUUGGAGGCUCUCACUGACUGCUGAAGGGAGGCUAGAUGAGGCCACUGAGUGAUUUGGUAGAAACAACAUAAUGAGCUACCAGGCUCUAAGAACAGCGGCUUCCUGAGACUGACUGGGAAACUGUUUUGAUUGACGGGUCUCACCAGCACACCCGACUGUGCAGGCAGAUAAGAAGCCCACUGGGAGAAGAUAUCAGGGAAGGUAAGGAUGCCAUGAUCCCUUUAUAGGAGAGAGCUGGGGAACUGGCUCUGGGAAGGGGAAACUGCAGAGCAGCAAAAUGAUCUUGAUUACUAGUGACAUUUAAUUGCAAUUAGGUUUUUAACAACAGCAAAAAAAGAUUAUAAAACUCUUCGGUUUCUUUCACAUCAAACUGCCCAUGCUUGGAAUAUUGUCGUGUGCAUUCUUCCUGCAACACCAUCAAAAACAGGUUCACUGUAUUUGCAACAUACUGAGAAGAGUUAAUGGCCAGUGCAGGCGUUCUCCUGGCUUCAGAGUUCAAAGUUAUCUGCUCCCAGAUUCAGCCACACAAAUUAUUCCCUGAGAGUAAUCUUCAGUGAGUUGCUAGGAGAUGACCGGUUUAUGUUUUCCUUUGAUUAUAGGGCAUAACCGCCCCACUGUCAAAAUGCCAAAAGUUAAAAAAAAAAAAAAAAAAAGGCAGUGAUUGCUUAAGAAUAAUGUUUUCCUGU